rnacentral:rRNA from 1 species
UGGGGAAUAUUGGACAAUGGGCGAAAGCCUGAUCCAGCCAUGCCGCGUGUGUGAAGAAGGUCUUCGGAUUGUAAAGCACUUUAAGUUGGGAGGAAGGGCAGUUACCUAAUACGUGAUUGUUUUGACGUUACCGACAGAAUAAGCACCGGCUAACUCUGUGCCAGCAGCCGCGGUAAUACAGAGGGUGCAAGCGUUAAUCGGAAUUACUGGGCGUAAAGCGCGCGUAGGUGGUUAGUUAAGUUGGAUGUGAAAUCCCCGGGCUCAACCUGGGAACUGCAUUCAAAACUGACUGACUAGAGUAUGGUAGAGGGUGGUGGAAUUUCCUGUGUAGCGGUGAAAUGCGUAGAUAUAGGAAGGAACACCAGUGGCGAAGGCGACCACCUGGACUGAUACUGACACUGAGGUGCGAAAGCGUGGGGAGCAAACAGAAUUAGAUACCCGUGUAGUCCCUGAGCGGGCUGGCAAGGCGCAU